GGUGAACUUGCGUGUUGCUCACUUGACUAUUGCGAUAAGAUUUUACGGCUUUGUUUAUGUUGCCAUUUUUUAUUUUACUUUAGUCACUGUUACUAUUGUUACAGCCAUGAAGAUGGAGAGGCCAACGAAGAAAUGACAGAAAAUGAGUUCAGAGCGGGUGAAGACAACAGCCAUGAAGAUGAUGAGGACGAGUACCAAUGUGUGUGUGUGUGGCCUGGUAAUAUUUUGUAAAUAUUUCAUAAUUUUAUAAAAUUAUUUCAUAAUUUUUAUUUACUGGCACUAAUACAAUUGUAUGGAAAAACAAUGCAUGCUAAAACAGAUUUCAUGUAGUGUAUUUACCCCUCUUUUUUGGGGAAAGGGAGGCAGAGGGGGGCGCCACCCAUGAUCUUGCAUACCCCUCAGCAAAUGAUCAGUCGCGCCCCUGUUCUUAGUACAACUCUGUGUGGUACUGUUGUGAGUUUAUAAGGUACAGCGGUGGUGUUGGUAUUUUAAACACUUUGUACAUUAAGUGAAUUUUAUUACAUUCACCUACUAUGUAGGUCCACUUUGUAGGAGUACAAUAAGAGAAUAAAGCUCAUCCUUUUCCUCACUUAAGUUGCUUUCAAGCUUUUUUCAGUGUUAGUUUCUGACUAUAGGACAUCCCAGUUUCACAGAAAAAAGGUCACAUGCAACUUAUCUGGAGCACCUUUGAUACAUUGAAUAUCAGCGUUCUGUCACAAGAAUGUGGUGCAGAGCACCGUAUCAAACAUUCACUUGAAUGCUCUGUAUGGAAUGUUCUGGACCAGUGUAUUUUAACCAACCUAAUCUCUACCACUAGUCUAUUUGAAUAAGAUCGAUAUGUAAUAAAUAAUUUUACUUAUUUUUUAAACAUACUGAGCAUAGAAAAAAGAAGCCUAACUUCUCCUCUUCUCUGCAAACACAAUCAGGCUUGCAAGUCAUGGUAUGGUAACGUGUAGAGGUUAGCUUGGUUAAAAUACUUUGGUCCAGAACAUGACAUAUAGAGCAUAUGAGUGAAAGUUAGAGAUGUUGCUAUGCAAGGUACGCUUGUGUCUCAGUGUUUAAGUCUAGGCUGAAAACUGUUUAGUCAAGCCUUUUGUGAAUAGUUUUGUCUUAGGUAAAGGAGCAGAUUUGGAGGGCUCACGGGCACAGGGUGUUGUAGUGAACUGGGAUGUAUGGACGCUGUUGCCCCCCCACCCUCACGCAUUCAAUCAGCUUUGUUGACGGUGGAGUGGCUGGCCACUUUUUGUCCCAAGGCGCCCUCAUGUCUAUGUUACCUUCUGGCUCUCCCUUUUAGUUAUUCUGUCAUAGCUAGUGUUGCCGGAGUCCCUGCUUGCACUCUGCAUGCAAAGUACAUUGUCCUUAACCAUUAUGGGACAAAAAACAUAACUAAUAAUCCAGGAUACCAGUGAUCCUGACCCGUUCUGUUCUCUGGACCUGCCUGAUCCCUCCUGAUGCCCUACUUCUGGUUGGAGUUCUCAUCAGUUGGAAAUCACUCGCUGCUGCUGAGGAUGGCCCCACAUGGGCAGCCUGAAGAUCAAUGAGAUUACUGAGGAUGGUACCACUUAAAAACCAUGAAGAUGGCUUUGGACCACAAUUCAAAUGAACAGUUAUGCUAUGAUGGCUUAGGACUACAAUUGCUGCAAGGACUGCAAUUGCCACGAACAGUUUUGCACUCAAGUCUCCAUCAGUGAACAGUGGAUAAGUUCAAGAAAUUAUAGAAGGGAUUUAUUUAUAAUUUCACUAUCCGUUGUCACCCAGAUGAGGAUGGGUACCCUUUGGUUUCUUCUUCAGAUCUUCUCAGGGAGUUUUUCCUUGCUACUGUCACCUCUGGCUUGCUCAUUAGGAAUAAAUUCAUACAUUUAAAAUUUAUAUCUUGAAUGUAUUUAUUUCUGUAAAGCUGCCUUAUGACAACAUCCAUUGUUAAAAGUGCUAUACAAAUAAAAUUGAAUUGAAUUGUACCAGAAAGUUGAUGCAAAUAGGUUGCAUGUGAGCAUUUUUUCUGCCAAUACAAAUGUCACUGCUGUGCCAAGAAUGGUCUACUCCAAGUAACAUCUGCUUUGUACUGAUUUCUACAGUGGAGUAGAAAGUGCCUACUACAUAGUGUGGAGCAGUAGCUUCAGUCAAGACCUACAAUGUGCACCUAGAGAAUAUUGUUGUUGGGCCAUAAGAAAUAACCAGUAAUUUUAGCUAGGUGUACAGCUGUACAUUUAAAGCAGUGAUUAAUAUGAAUGAUCUUUGUCUACUCAGUAGGUUCAGAUAAUUUUUCUUAUUCUCCACAUUUAAAACAAGUGGCAAUUUGCUGGAUACAAUUGGAUACACAAUGCUGGAUCCAACAUCUUCACUGAUCGUCUUGCCUGGGCUGUGGCUCAGAUUGCAAACUCUGCCUCAUCAUUUGUUUAUACACUUCCAACAGCAGUGUUUCUCAUGGAUGUGUUACUUGUGAGCAACCAUCAUGGCAAGUCAGGGGAUGGAGAAGAGCAAAGUGGAUGCAAAUGGGGUGGGCAAUAUGGCCUUCAAAUAAUAUCACGAUAUUUGGGGAUAUUUUUUUUGUGACAACAAUAUUCACUAACAAUAUAUAUUUAAAAAAUACUUCAAAGUGUUUUAAAAUGUUAAUUGCAGCCAAUCCUCCAAUCUUAAGUACAAAUUCUAUUAAAUAUACAUUAAAUUAUAAUCUUCACGUUUUCAGUGUAAUAGUAAAAAAUAUAAAAUAAAAAAUAUAAAACCUUCAAAUAUAUAUAUAAAAAAUAUAUAAUAUAUACUGUUACACAUCAUGCACGCAAUUCACAUACACUUGCUUACGUCACAAUAUACCAAAAGCCUGUCAAAUUUAAUAAGACACGGGGACUAUCAUGAACAAUAUUAUAUCGCCCACCUCUAUAUGCAAUCUACCAUAUGUUUUUAAGCUCUUAGAAUUCAGUAGCUAUAUUUUGGAGGAUUUGUGGAUUUAUAUCUGUUAUCCUUGGAGGUUCAUGCCUUAUCUAGAGCACCAUGUGUUCUGCAAGUUUUAUUGAGUGCAUAAACAUUUCAAUUAAAUGUACAACUACUAUACUUCAACAGUAUUUGUACUUUGCCUUUUCUUUAUUUAUUCUCACAGGAGCAACACUGACAAAGUGGCUGUAGAACCCCUGUGUGUAAGGGUGUGUAGGAAGACUCAGGAGGCAGGCGGAAUCUUAACUGAGCUCUGGGCUUACAUUUUUUCAGACUGCGCUUUUCAGUGCACUUUCAAAGUUCAACAGAAAACAACACAAAACUCGUGACUUUUGCUCUGUCAGGUUCAAGUUCACACUUCUUGGCAUGUGUAUGUGUGUGUCUCGCAAGUUCUGCCAAGCAGUCUCGCACUCUGUCUCUCUCUCUCUUUGACAGACGGCAAUCGCUGCUGUCUUAUGAAUUUGGGGACGCACUUGCCCAUGGCCCAAGUGGAAGCCCAGAUUCGUGCACAAUUGCACAAUCCUUUGGGUUUUCUGUGAGUCCUGCCCAUCUCAUGGUUCUCAGGACAGCUCUCAGAUGUUGUAAAUGCCAGUGCCAAUCAUUAAUAUAAAUAAUUAUGUCAUCUAAGUAGAUAGCCGCAUAUGCAUUGUGCGGGCGGAAGAUUCUGUCCAUGAGACGUUGAAACGUGGCUGGGGCUCCAAACAACCCAAACGGAAGGGUGACAAUCUGGUGUAAACCAAAUGGAGUGGAAAAGGCCAUUUGUUAGCGAGAUAUUGGAGUCAAGGGAAUGAAAUAGGCUGCACUUUAGACUUACCUCCGGUCCCAGCUCCUCCCUCUCAGGAACCAGCAUCGCCAGAGCCAUGGUUUUAGGAGGUUGAGGUGGUAUGUUUGCAUUGCUUCUAUCCAUUUGCCUAACCUCAUAGCCAACUUCUCCGACUUGCUGUGUGACCUCAAAGGGUCCUUGCCACUUUGUGAGUAAUUUAGAGCUCAAUGUGGGUAUUAAAACGAGUAUUUUAUCUCCGGGACAAAUUCCCGUAGCCAAGUACCCCUGUCAUGCAGUCAGGUCUGUCGAUCUUGGGUCUGGUGCAAACUCUCCUGUGUUAGGUGCAUACUCCUAGUUUUCCCUAAUGAUGUCGAAGAUGCCUCAA